rnacentral:rRNA from 1 species
CGGGUGAGUAACACGUGGGUGAUCUGCCUUGCACUUCGGGAUAAGCCUGGGAAACUGGGUCUAAUACCGGAUAUGACCUCGGGAUGCAUGUUCUGGAGUGGAAAGAUUUAUCGGUGCGAGAUGGGCCCGCGGCCUAUCAGCUUGUUGGUGAGGUAACGGCUCACCAAGGCGACGACGGGUAGCCGACCUGAGAGGGUGACCGGCCACACUGGGACUGAGACACGGCCCAGACUCCUACGGGAGGCAGCAGUGGGGAAUAUUGCACAAUGGGCGAAAGCCUGAUGCAGCGACGCCGCGUGCGGGAUGACGGCCUUCGGGUUGUAAACCGCUUUUGACAGGGACGAAGCGCAAGUGACUGUACCUGUAGAAUAAGGACCGGCCAACUACGUGCCAGCAGCCGCGGUAAUACGUAGGGUCCGAGCGUUGUCCGGAAUUACUGGGCGUAAAGAGCUUGUAGGCGGUUCGUCGCGUCGUUUGUGAAAACUUGGGGCUCAACCUUAAGCUUGCAGGCGAUACGGGCGGACUAGAGUACUUCAGGGGAGACUGGAAUUCCUGGUGUAGCGGUGAAAUGCGCAGAUAUCAGGAGGAACACCGGUGGCGAAGGCGGGUCUCUGGGAAGUAACUGACGCUGAGAAGCGAAAGCAUGGGUAGCAAACAGGAUUAGAUACCCUGGUAGUCCAUGCCGUAAACGGUGGGUACUAGGUGUGGGGCUCCUUCCACGGACUCCGUGCCGUAGCUAACGCAUUAAGUACCCCGCCUGGGGAGUACGGCCGCAAGGCUAAAACUCAAAGAAAUUGACGGGGGCCCGCACAAGCGGCGGAGCAUGUGGAUUAAUUCGAUGCAACGCGAAGAACCUUACCUGGGUUUGACAUACACCGGAAACCUGCAGAGAUGUAGGCCCCCUUGUGGUCGGUGUACAGGUGGUGCAUGGCUGUCGUCAGCUCGUGUCGUGAGAUGUUGGGUUAAGUCCCGCAACGAGCGCAACCCUUAUCUUAUGUUGCCAGCGCGUAAUGGCGGGGACUCGUGAGAGACUGCCGGGGUCAACUCGGAGGAAGGUGGGGACGACGUCAAGUCAUCAUGCCCCUUAUGUCCAGGGCUUCACACAUGCUACAAUGGCCGGUACAGAGGGCUGCGAGACCGUGAGGUGGAGCGAAUCCCUUAAAGCCGGUCUCAGUUCGGAUCGGGGUCUGCAACUCGACCCCGUGAAGUUGGAGUCGCUAGUAAUCGCAGAUCAGCAACGCUGCGGUGAAUACGUUCCCGGGCCUUGUACACACCGCCCGUCACGUCAUGAAAGUCGGUAACACCCG